AGAGUUUGAUCAUGGCUCAGAACGUACGCUGGCGGCACGCCUAACACAUGCAAGUCGAACGAAGUAGCAAUACUUAGUGGCAGACGGGUGAGUAGCAUGUGGGUAUCUACCCUUUGGCCUGGAAUAACACGAGGAAACUUGUGCUAAUACCGGAUAAGUCUUUACGGAGAAAGCUUUAUGCACCAUUGGAUGAGCCCGCACUUGAUUAGUUUGUUGGUAGGGUAAUGGCCUACCAAGACUAUGAUCAAUAGCUGAUUUGAGAGGAUGAUCAGCCACAUUGGGACUGAGACACGGCCCAAACUCCUACGGGAGGCAGCAGUGGGGAAUCUUGCACAAUGGAGGAAACUCUGAUGCAGCGAUGCCGCGUGAGUGAAGAAGGCCCUUGGGUUGUAAAGCUCUUUCGUCGGGGAAGAAAAUGACUGUACCCGAAUAAGAAGGUCCGGCUAACUUCGUGCCAGCAGCCGCGGUAAUACGAAGGGACCUAGCGUAGUUCGGAAUUACUGGGCUUAAAGAGUUCGUAGGUGGUUGAAAAAGUUGGUGGUGAAAUCCCAGAGCUUAACUCUGGAACUGCCAUCAAAACUUUUCAGCUAGAGUAUGAUAGAGGAAAGCAGAAUUUCUAGUGUAGAGGUGAAAUUCGUAGAUAUUAGAAA
rnacentral:rRNA from 1 species